GACGAACGCUGGCGGCGUGCUUAACACAUGCAAGUCGAACGGAAAGGGCCUGCUUUUGUGGGGUGCUCGAGUGGCGAACGGGUGAGUAACAUGUGAGUAACCUGCCCUUGACUUUGGGAUGACUUCAGGAAAGUGGGGCUACUACCUGCUUGCAGCUGCGGCAGCUUGGGGGGGGUCGGACAUUUUGGUCGGUGGUGGAUGGACUGCCGGCUAAUCAGCUUGUGGGUCGGGUAGCGGCUUACGAGGGCUUUGGCGGGUAGCCGGCCUGGGAGGGUGACCGGCGACAUGGGGCCUGAGGUACGGCCCAGUCUGCAACGGGAGGCAGCAGGGGGGAAUAUUGCACAGUGGGCGGAAGCCUGAGGCAGCAACGCCGCGUGCGGGAAGACGGCCUUCGGGUGGGAAACCGCUUUCGCCUGUGACGAAGCGUGAGUGACGGUAAUGGGUAAAGAAGCACCGGCUAACUACGUG
rnacentral:rRNA from 1 species